GGCAGGCUUAACACAUGCAAGUCGAACGAUGACUCUCUAGCUUGCUAGAGAUGAUUAGUGGCGGACGGGUGAGUAAUAUUUAGGAAUCUGCCUAGUAGUGGGGGAUAGCUCGGGGAAACUCGAAUUAAUACCGCAUACGACCUACGGGUGAAAGGGGGCGCAAGMUCUUGCUAUUAGAUGAGCCUAAAUCAGAUUAGCUAGUUGGUGGGGUAAAGGCCCACCAAGGCGACGAUCUGUAACUGGUCUGAGAGGAUGAUCAGUCACACCGGAACUGAGACACGGUCCGGACUCCUACGGGAGGCAGCAGUGGGGAAUAUUGGACAAUGGGGGCAACCCUGAUCCAGCCAUGCCGCGUGUGUGAAGAAGGCCUUUUGGUUGUAAAGCACUUUAAGCAGGGAGGAGAGGCUAAUGGUUAAUACCCAUUAGAUUAGACGUUACCUGCAGAAUAAGCACCGGCUAACUCUGUGCCAGCAGCCGCGGUAAUACAGAGGGUGCGAGCGUUAAUCGGAAUUACUGGGCGUAAAGCGAGUGUAGGUGGCUCAUUAAGUCACAUGUGAAAUCCCCGGGCUUAACCUGGGAACUGCAUGUGAUACUGGUGGUGCUAGAAUAUGUGAGAGGGAAGUAGAAUUCCAGGUGUAGCGGUGAAAUGCGUAGAGAUCUGGAGGAAUACCGAUGGCGAAGGCAGCUUCCUGGCAUAAUAUUGACACUGAGAUUCGAAAGCGUGGGUAGCAAACAGGAUUAGAUACCCUGGUAGUCCACGCCGUAAACGAUGUCUACUAGCCGUUGGGGUCCUUGAGACUUUAGUGGCGCAGUUAACGCGAUAAGUAGACCGCCUGGGGAGUACGGCCGCAAGGUUAAAACUCAAAUGAAUUGACGGGGGCCCGCAC
rnacentral:rRNA from 1 species